AAAACCAAGGUAGCUGCCGAACAGUAAAGAAAUAAACACUGUGAAAAUAGUCCGUAAUAUUAUGCCAGGCUAUAUCCGUAGAGAAAAUUCGUGCAAAAAGCAUGCAUGUGCCAUACAAAAAUGUCUUAGAGUUAUAAGAGCCAAGGAAAAAGGUCAAAGAAUGUUCCUUCGGGCUAGUAAAAGGGUGCUCCCGAAUUGCAACUAUACAAACACAAAUUUGUUGAUGCAAAAUCACCGAUAAACACGAAGAACAAGCGGAACAACCCAGUAGCAACCCAGUGACAAGCAGAACAACCUAGUAACAACCCAGGAAUAAACGUAACAAUCCAGUAACAAGCGGAAAUAUUAAUUGAUUGUUUAAUAAAUAACACUUGCCUACAUGGGGACGUUUAUAAUCUAACUCUCUGAAGUUCGUGUGGGGCCAUACUGGAAAGCAUGAACCUGCUACGCCACAUAUGUACGCCAUAGAUAAUCCAUCAUGCACCAAGAAGCACCGGUACUCGACACCACCCCACCAAAUGUUAACUUUGCGCAAACAGGGCUGCACUGACAUUUUUGGGGCCUCAGUCCCAGGUAUAUACGAGGCACAAGCCUUGCCUGUUGGACUUUAAAGAAUUGAUCAAUGAGUCGAACAAAUACAUUUUUACAGUGUGUUUGAAAAAUUAGAAUUUAUUUGCAUAAUAUUUUAUGCUUAAUAA